rnacentral:rRNA from 1 species
AUUGAACGCUGGCGGCAUGCCUUACACAUGCAAGUCGAACGGUAGAGGGGCAACCCUUGAGAGUGGCGAACGGGUGAGUAAUGUAUCGGAACAUGCCCAGUCGUGGGGGAUAACGUAGCGAAAGUUACGCUAAUACCGCAUACGAUCUAUGGAUGAAAGCGGGGGAUCGCAAGACCUCGCGCGAUUGGAGUGGCCGAUAUCAGAUUAGGUAGUUGGUGGGGUAAAGGCCUACCAAGCCGACGAUCUGUAGCUGGUCUGAGAGGACGACCAGCCACACUGGGACUGAGACACGGCCCAGACUCCUACGGGAGGCAGCAGUGGGGAAUUUUGGACAAUGGGCGCAAGCCUGAUCCAGCCAUUCCGCGUGCAGGAAGAAGGCCUUCGGGUUGUAAACUGCUUUUGUACGGAACGAAACGCGCUGAGCUAGUACCUCGGCGUAAUGACGGUACCGUAAGAAUAAGCACCGGCUAACUACGUGCCAGCCGCCGCUGUAAUAC